rnacentral:rRNA from 1 species
AGCGAACGCUGGCGGCAGGCUUAACACAUGCAAGUCGAGCGGGCACUUCGGGGUCAGCGGCAGACGGGUGAGUAACACGUGGGAACGUACCCUUUGGUUCGGAAUAACGCUGGGAAACUAGCGCUAAUACCGGAUACGCCCUUUUGGGGAAAGGCUUACUGCCGAAGGAUCGGCCCGCGUCUGAUUAGCUAGUUGGUGGGGUGAUGGCCUACCAAGGCGACGAUCAGUAGCUGGUCUGAGAGGAUGAUCAGCCACACUGGGACUGAGACACGGCCCAGACUCCUACGGGAGGCAGCAGUGGGGAAUAUUGGACAAUGGGCGCAAGCCUGAUCCAGCCAUGCCGCGUGAGUGAUGAAGGCCUUAGGGUUGUAAAGCUCUUUUGUCCGGGACGAUAAUGACGGUACCGGAAGAAUAAGCCCCGGCUAACUUCGUG